rnacentral:rRNA from 1 species
GAUGAACGCUAGCGGGAGGCUUAACACAUGCAAGUCGAGGGGCAGCAUAGGGUAGCAAUACUCUGAUGGCGACCGGCAAACGGGUGAGUAACGCGUAUGCAACCUACCCUGUACAGGGGGAUAACCCGGAGAAAUUCGGACUAAUAUCCCGUACUAAUAUCCGGAGGCAUCUUUGGAUAUUUAAAGUUCCGACGGUACGGGAUGGGCAUGCGUAACAUUAACUGGUUGGUAAGGUAACGGCUUACCAAGGCUAUGAUGUUUAGGGGUCCUGAGAGGGUGGUCCCCCACACUGGUACUGAGACACGGACCAGACUCCUACGGGAGGCAGCAGUGAGGAAUAUUGGUCAAUGGGCGCAAGCCUGAACCAGCCAUCCCGCGUGCAGGAAGACGGCCCUAUGGGUUGUAAAACUGCUUUUCCAGGGAGAGAGACUUACGCACGUGUUGCGUGACUGACGGUACCCUGGGAAUAAGCAUCGGCUAACUCCGUG